rnacentral:rRNA from 1 species
AUUGAACGCUGGCGGCAGGCUUAACACAUGCAAGUCGAGCGGGGGAGGUUACUUCGGUAACUGACCUAGCGGCGGACGGGUGAGUAAUGCUUAGGAAUCUGCCUAUUAGUGGGGGACAACAUUCCGAAAGGAAUGCUAAUACCGCAUACGCCCUACGGGGGAAAGCAGGGGAUCAUCGGACCUUGCGCUAAUAGAUGAGCCUAAGUCGGAUUAGCUAGUUGGUGGGGUAAAGGCCUACCAAGGCGACGAUCUGUAGCGGGUCUGAGAGGAUGAUCCGCCACACUGGGACUGAGACACGGCCCAGACUCCUACGGGAGGCAGCAGUGGGGAAUAUUGGACAAUGGGCGGAAGCCUGAUCCAGCCAUGCCGCGUGUGUGAAGAAGGCCUUUUGGUUGUAAAGCACUUUAAGCGAGAAGGAGGCUCCUUUAGUUAAUACCUAAAGAGAGUGGACGUUACUCGCAGAAUAAGCACCGGCUAACUCUGUGCCAGCAGCCGCAGUAAAAC